rnacentral:tRNA from 1 species
GGAGCGCUAGCUCAGAUGGUAGAGCGCUCGCUUAGCAUGCGACAAGUACGGGGAUCGAUACCCUGCAUCUCCA